UACGGAGGGUGCAAGCGUUAUCCGGAUUCACUGGGUUUAAAGGGUGCGUAGGCGGGCAGGUAAGUCAGUGGUGAAAUCUCCAAGCUUAACUUGGAAACUGCCGUUGAUACUAUCUGUCUUGAAUAUUGUGGAGGUGAGCGGAAUAUGUCAUGUAGCGGUGAAAUGCUUAGAUAUGACAUAGAACACCCAUUGCGAAGGCAGCUCACUACGGGAUCAUUGACACUGAGGCACGAAAGCGUGGGGAUCAAACAGG
rnacentral:rRNA from 1 species